rnacentral:rRNA from 1 species
AGUGAACGCUGGCGGUAGGCCUAACACAUGCAAGUCGAACGGCAGCACAGUAAGAGCUUGCUCUUACGGGUGGCGAGUGGCGGACGGGUGAGGAAUACAUCGGAAUCUACUUUUUCGUGGGGGAUAACGUAGGGAAACUUACGCUAAUACCGCAUACGACCUACGGGUGAAAGCGGGGGAUCUUCGGACCUUGCGCGAUUGAAUGAGCCGAUGUCGGAUUAGCUAGUUGGCGGGGUAAAGGCCCACCAAGGCGACGAUCCGUAGCUGGUCUGAGAGGAUGAUCAGCCACACUGGAACUGAGACACGGUCCAGACUCCUACGGGAGGCAGCAGUGGGGAAUAUUGGACAAUGGGCGCAAGCCUGAUCCAGCCAUACCGCGUGGGUGAAGAAGGCCUUCGGGUUGUAAAGCCCUUUUGCUGGGAAAGAAAAGCAGCAGGUUAAUACCCCGCUGUUCUGACGGUACCCAAAGAAUAAGCACCGGCUAACUUCGUG